AAAGCUCAAAUUUAAAAUCUGGCGGUCUUUGGCCGUCCGAGUUGUAAUCUAGAGAAGUAAUGCCCGUGCUGGACCGUGUAUAAGUCUCCUGGGAUGGGGCGUCAUAGAGGGUGAGAAUCCCGUCUUUGACACGGACUACCAGUGCAUUGUGGUAUGCUCUCAAAGAGUCGAGUUGUUUGGGAAUGCAGCUCAAAAUGGGUGGUAAAUUCCAUCUAAAGCUAAAUACAGGCGAAAGACCGAUAGCGAA
rnacentral:rRNA from 1 species